GACGAACGCUGGCGGCGUGCUUAACACAUGCAAGUCGAACGAAGUGGCGAACGGGUGAGUAACGCGUAAUCCACCUGCCCUUCAGAGGGGGACAACAGUUGGAAACGACUGCUAAUACCGCAUACUGAAGGCGGGGGUUGCGUCUGAUUAGCUAGGUGGAGGGGGAAUGGCCCACCAAGGCGAUGAUCAGUAGCCGGUCGGAGAGGAUGAACGGCCACAUUGGGACUGAGACACGGCCCAGACUCCUACGGGAGGCAGCAGUGGGGAAUCUUCCGAAAGUGACGAAAGGCUGACGGGGCAACGCCGCGUGAGUGAUGACGGCCUUCGGGUUGUAAAGCUCUGUUAAUCGGGACGCGGUACCGGAAUAGAAAGCCACGGCUAACUACGUGCCAGCCGCCGCGGUAAUUC
rnacentral:rRNA from 1 species